rnacentral:tRNA from 1 species
GUUCCUAUAGCUCAGUGGUAGAGCAACCGGCUGCAGUAAAUUAUAUAUAUAUAUAAUUUGCUGGUUCCGGUAGGUCUCGUGUUCAAAUCACGAUGGGAACU